GGGGGUUGUAGGACUGCAAUGUGCAAUAAGUAAGGUUAGUAGAACACUCUGGAAAGUGUAGCCAUAGAGGGUGAUAGUCCCGUAUACGAAAACCAAACUUUAGCUAGCAGUAUCCUGAGUAGGGCGAAACACGUGGAAUUUUGUCUGAAGCUGGGUCGACCACGAUCCAACCCUAAAUACUAAUACCAGAUCGAUAGUGCACAAGUACCGUGAGGGAAAGGUGAAAAGAACUGAGGUGAUCAGAGUGAAAUAGAACCUGAAACCAUUUGCUUACAAUCAUUCAGAGCACUAUGUAGCAAUACAGUGUGAUGGACUGCCUUUUGCAUAAUGAGCCUGCGAGUUGUGGUGUCUGGCAAGGUUAAGCACACGCGAAGCCGUAGCGAAAGCGAGUCUGAAUAGGGCGCUUAAGUCAGAUGCUGCAGACCCGAAACGAAGUGAUCUAUCCAUGAGCAAGUUGAAGCU
rnacentral:rRNA from 1 species